CACGUAGGGCGCAAGCGUUGUCCGGAAUUAUUGGGCGUAAAGAGCUCGUAGGCGGUCUGUUGCGUCCGCUGUGAAAACUCGGGGCUUAACCCCGAGCCUGCAGUGGAUACGGGCAGACUAGAGGUAGGUAGGGGAGAAUGGAAUUCCCGGUGUAGCGGUGAAAUGCGCAGAUAUCGGGAGGAACACCGGUGGCGAAGGCGGUUCUCUGGGCCUUACCUGACGCUGAGAUGCGAAAGCGUGGGGAGCAAACAGG
rnacentral:rRNA from 1 species